AACAAAGAAUGUCUUCCUGUCUGAUUUUGCAGUGUUUUUUUUUUUGUACUCUGGGUUUGACUUUGAUGGGCUUCCCUGGGGAAGUGCCUGCUCAUCGCUGCGCAGAAGCUGGUGGGUAAGACUUGGUGGAGAGUGAACCUAAGGUACCAGGGGAGGACCUGCUAUCUCUACCUGCUAAAAACAAAACAAGCUGUCACACAACUCUGAAGCUUAGCAUAAGGAGGAAUUCAGUGACUGUACUGAUCGUCAGCCAGUUUGAAAUUCUCGACACCAAAAGAACACACAGCAAUCUACUUCCACAGGGACCAGUCUGUGAAUGGUAACCACCACACAGAGGAUGGAAGUGUUUUCUUUUACAAAA